ensembl:antisense
AAAAGCUGCUAAGUGUCUGGCUUCUCCUCCACCUAAAAUAUCCACAGAGCGCCCGUCUCCCUUGAACUCAGGCCCUCGGUACUGCUGCUCCCUAUGUUUUCCUGUCGACUGCAUUCCUGGUUUCUCACGAACAUACCCUUGAAGAACGUAAACUGGAAAUCUGAAGGUAAGCUUUUGCUGUUUGCUCUAGACUAUUUAAAGACCACUGAAGUCAUGCUCGGCAUAUCUGGGUUGGCUGUGGCGUUUAAGGUGGACCUCAGGCCGGUUAGGACUUAGUUGUGAUCACCCUUCUACUGAGGAGACCAGGGAUAAGUCACUAAGUAAGCUUUUGCUGUUUGCUCUGGGAUGGUUAAAGACCACUGUCUUACAUGGGUUGACUGUGGCAUUAGGUGGACCUCAGGACUGUUAUGGACAUCAGGCGUGUUCAUCCUUCUACUGAGGAGUCCAGGGAUAAAUACAAUGGCUACUGAUUACAAGCAUGCAUCUACGACUCAAAUAUCAUGGAAUAUUUCAUAUUCAUAUAAUGACAGGAGACAUGGAUUCCUGGUGAAAGGAAAGCGCAUUAACUUUCUAUUUUAGUUCUCUAAAAGACUAAUAUAUGGUUCUUCUCCUUCAAGUUUUAGAUAGAUCAAUUGUUCGUUUAAUUGUAAAAAAAUAUACAAUUUUUCUUUAAUUCUUGUUAAUAAAGAUAAUUACCACUCAAUAGACUUUUAAAUUUAUAAAUAUAUAGCAAUUCUACAUAAAACGGGAAAGCAGCCUGUCAAAGAUGACUCACUGAUGGCUGCAUCGCACGUAUUUAGUACUGACAAAGAGGGCUUGACUUUCUACCACUUCUAAUCUGACAAAGGAGAAAACAGUACCCAUUACUUAUGUUCUAAAAACUGUAAUGUAUGCUGCAGAGUUUUAAAAGAUGGUAUGAACAAUAUCAAAACACCUUAAGAACACACAACAAAGGCAGGCACCAACAGCAUAAAGCACUGGGAGGUCAUGGAGGACAGAGAGAGGCAACAUUGCAUUCUAAUUACUAUUAUACGCGUGUAAGAAGUCUCACGGAGACUGACCAAGAGAAUGAAAUCUUACCUGAGAACAAAGCAGCAUGACCAGCUCCACCACAGACGUGCUGGACUUCAUACAGACAAGGCCUGUGCAGGGAAAGGGCAACGCAAAGAGUUACCACAGGGCAGGCACAGGAUUACCUCAUUUGAAAUUAUAAAAGAUUUCUAUGAGAUGAGACUUCAGAAAUUAACUUCAUCUAUAUACUCUUCCUAAUUAUUGAAAAAAUUCAGAUGCUUCAAAUUUUAUGAAAAUUUCUAAAAUAUUGAUUUUAUGGGAUGACUAUUAAAAUCAGGCUAGUCAGAGCUGCUUUAAUCCAAAGGUACUGCUAUAUGACAGUUUCCUAGCAUAGAGUACAAGGAUGAAAGACCUGCAGGCAUUCUCUACUUGGAGGAUCAAAAUUAAACAAAUGUAUGCAUAGCUCAUUUAUCACAGCUUAUUAAAUGAUCCAAACUCACAGACCAGGUGCAACAAGGACUGAAAACAAUGCACACAAUAGGUCUGCAGUCAUAUGGAUCACCAACUCAACAUCUGCAGGGGACUGUGCUAAGUUCCCUACAUCAUCAUCUCAUAUAGGGCCCAUCAGUUCUAAUGCCACAUCUACUCUGCAGAAGAAAACAUCCUGGGAGUGAGCAGUGGUGGUACAUGCCUUCAAUCCUAGUACUUGGUUUUGAAAAACC